CGCCAGUAAGCCCACAGGUGAACCGGAAGUCAUGUCAUAUGUAUACAGCACGGCCCGCAGGCGUAUCGCUGGAAGACUCCGGGUACAGAAACUCCUUUAAAAGCAAUUUCAGCAUUGGACUCAUUUCCUUCCUUUUUGGCCUCUCCUUCACUUGCUGUUUGGAAGUCAUCUGAUUCAGCGACUGUCAUUCUGCAUUUCUGUUUCGUUGCUUACAUUUUGAACCCUUAGCAAUAACAAAAGUUUUCCAUUUGUGCAUUCAAGUUUGUUUUUCCUUGAUUUAAUGUGCUUGUGUGAGUAUUUGCCACGUGACCAUUAUUUAUUUCACAGUACUUCAUAUAUGGUAGUAUGCCAAGUCUCUGCUGCUUAUAAACAUUGUCAUUAAUUAAAAAUUUGUAAUCAGUUAAUAUAUAA